rnacentral:lncRNA from 1 species
GGAUAUGACAUAUUGUCUUCUACCAAUCUACUUGUUGUAUGUGGGAUAGUUGAGAGCAGGAUACUUAGGAAAUUAUUUUGGCCAUCCAACCUCCUCCAUUGUGACAUCAGAGCAGUGACUUCUACUUCUUGCCUUCUCCCAUUUUACCAGUGGCGUAGCUGGGUGCAGGCACAGUUUUGGGGUGAGGAGGUCAGUUCUCCAUCGGCAUGCCCUGAGAUAACCCAGAAGGGAAGUCGUAUCUGCUGCCUGCCAAGCACCUCCACGGAGCCUGGAGGAGCCUUCACGGUUCUGCAAGCAGGAAUUCCGCUGAAAUUACCAUCUGCAGAGUCAGACAAGCCUUUCAGCAGCACAGAGGCUCUCUGUGUGGGCAGAGUCUCCCACAUGUGGCUGGUUGGCACGGCCAGCCAGCUGUGGGUCACCUGUGGGCACCAGGCAGGCAAAGCCACAUACUGAAAUCCACCGACGAGGCCCAUGCUGCUACCCAGGUGGAGAGUGUGGUGAAGUCUUAGGAGGGCUCUGCCUGUCCAAGAGAGUUUUCCUAGCAAAGAAACUGCAGCAUGGCUUUUAUGCUGAAAGUUCUGGAGCUGAGAGGACACCUGAAGCAUUCCUACAUCGGUGACAUAAAGAGAAGAAAAGUCACCAUAGGAGCAAGCUGAAAUUCUACAAUUUGACAAGUAAGGGAGUUUACUCCCCUUUGAGUCAAGUGGAUACUCUGGAAGAUAACUAGGCUGAAGUCAUAUUGAAAGUAAUGCCUCCUCCCUAAUAUAAAAAAGGUACUUGCCGCGGGGAGGCCCUAGUGUCAUGUACUGCCAGGGAGCUGGGAGUAACAUCAAAAGGUCAGCUCAGGAUUGCCACAAUCUCACAAGAGAACAUACACUAGUGGAGGUCAACGUGGGAUGGGUAGAGUGGAGGGGUUUGUAAAGAAUCCAAUAAUAUGCUUCUGAAAAGUUCUAGCGUUUGGCUGUCUGCCAUGACAGAGGGCGAUAACCAGCCAGCGCUAGCCAAGAAAGAAUUGCCAAUAGUUACACCCAGUAAAAAGGUCAUUUCUGCCCUCUUCUCUCCCCUGUUCAUUAUGCUUUAGCUCUUGGGAGAAGCAAAAGGAUGAGGAGGAAGAGAGGAAGUGCAAGGUGAAGGCAGGAGUGGAGUCACCUCGAAGCUAAUGAAGCUCAAAGCCUGCCCAGUGGUCUAGUGGUUAAGAUUCAGCACUCUUGCUGCUGCGGCCUGGGUUUGUUUCCCAGUUAGGGAACCACAUCACUCGUCUGCCGGUUGUCAUACAGUGGCAGCUGCCUGUUGCUGUGAUGCUGAAAGCUGUGCCACCAGUAUUUCAAAUACCAGCGGGGUCUCCCAUGGUGCACAGGUUUCAGUGGAGCUUCUAGACUAGACAGGCUAAGAAGAAGGACCCGGCCACACACUUGCCACCCCGUUUCAAAAGAACUGGCCAUGAAGACCCUGU